AAUGCCCAGUGUAAGAUUUAUAUUCCACUUCUGCCCAAAGCCCUGGCAAACUUACAUUUUCUUUAUGGUACGUCAUAGGAAUCUUCAGAAAGCAGACUCAGAGACAGAAUUUAGUGUUCAGGGAGUAUUGUGGAGUGCCCUUGGGAUCAACACUUGUGGAAGGGAGAGGGCAGGAGCUGAGCAGGCAGAGGGAGAAGUGAGCUGGAAUACAGGAGCAGCAGCCUAGGCCAACGCCAUGGAGAGAUCUGGAGUGGAGAUGACCCAUCAGAGCUGCCAUGCACUGGACUGCACUGGGCCAAAAUGGCUGGGCCCACUUCAUCACUGAAAGCCAGCUGCCCCUUUAGGAGGGCAGCUGGGACUAGUACUUCAUUGAAGGGCCAUGCGGUGGGUGGCACAUCUCUGUAGCCACCACAAAGAACAAAGAGGAGGUGCCAUAAUCUUUCACCUGGGUUCCUUAGCUCUUGUGAAGGUAUCUUCAUGCAUGGAUGGUAGUUCAAACUGAUGUUUCUUUGAAAGACUCUGGCCUUGUCAAAAGAAGGACGUAAGAAGGCACGAUGUAUUAUACUUGGGAAUGAUAGAAGAGACUGACCUGGUAUUUCCACCCGGAAGAGGGAAAGGAUUUUAACUACAAAUACAGGAAUCCAGCAGAUGGCAUCAGAGAACACUAUAAAAAAGAAACGAUUUGCAACAGCCACCUCUCUUCCAAAACAAUUCCUUACUUCUGUGGUCUGCAAGGCGGUUUUUUGAAUGGAACAGAACAUAGUAAUAUAGGAAAACACAAUGAUGAGAAAAGCCAGCAAGUUCACACCUGUUGGGAAAAGCACACUUUUAACAUCUCAGGCGUAAAAGUCAACAGUAAAAUUACUGUGGUACAGGUUGAGUAUCCCUUACCCAAAAUGUUUGAAACCAGAAAUGUUUUGGAUUUCGGAUUUCGGAAUAUUUACACAUUCAUAAUGAUAUAUCUUGGAAAUGGUUCCCAAGUCUAAACACAAAAUUUAUUUAUGUUUCAUAUACACCUUAUACACAUAGUCUGAAAGUAAUUUUGUACAAUAUUUUAAAUAAUUUUGGGCAUGAAACAAAGUUUGCAUACAUUGAACCAUCAGACAGCAAAAGCUUCAGGUGUGGAAUUUUCCACUUGUGGCAUCAUGUUGAUGCUCAAAAAGUUCCAUAUUUUAGAGCAUUUCAAAUUUUGGAUUUUCAAAUUACAAAUGCUUAACCUGUACUUAGAUGUUAAAUACAGUGCCUCUUCCACGGGCACUUCCAGGAAGCAUUCUUUUAUAUAAGCCCAGUGGUGUUAGGUAAAACCCAGGUUCAAGGGAAUAAAAACAAAGAAAUUGGGUUCACCAGAUGAAAAAGAGAUUUCAAAUACAUAAACCCUUAUGAGGAAUUAUAGACUUCUAAAAUUCAGAUCUAGGCAUAUCAUGAAGUAAACUCUAGCUCUUUUAAAGCAUGAAAAGAAGCUAUUUUUGUUUUCAGCUCUCUGCAGAUUCAAACCUUAAGGGAUUACUGUAAUCAUAUGCACAUCUCAAAAAAUAAAAACAACCCCAUUUUCUUAUCCUAUAAACAUGA
rnacentral:lncRNA from 10 species